UUUAAUCAUUAUAACCAGCUCCUCUCCUUCAGCCUCCAGCUGCUGUCUGCAGCACCCAGUGCACCUGCAUGAGUUGAGAGAAAAAACAAUGAAAAUGAGAAAGCUUUCUACAGCUCAAUAUUUACCUUUACUUGCUAUUGUUAGAGUAU